rnacentral:rRNA from 1 species
UACGGAAGGCAGCAGUGGGGAAUAUUGCACAAUGGGCGCAAGCCUGAUGCAGCCAUGCCGCGUGUAUGAAAAAGGCCUUCGGGUUGUAAAGUACUUUCAGUCGUGAGGAAGGUGUUAAGGUUAAUAACCUUAGCAAUUGACGUUAGCGACAGAAGAAGCACCGGCUAACUCCGUGCCAGCAGCCGCGGUAAUACGGAGGGUGCGAGCGUUAAUCGGAAUUACUGGGCGUAAAGGGCACGCAGGCGGUUAAUUAAGUUGGAUGUGAAAUCCCCGGGCUUAACCUGGGAAUGGCAUUCAAGACUGGUUAGCUAGAGUCUUGUAGAGGGGGUAGAAUUCCAUGUGUAGCGGUGAAAUGCGUAGAGAUGUGGAGGAAUACCGGUGGCGAAGGCGGCCCCGUGGACAAAGCUGGACGCUCAUGUGCGAAAGCGUGGGGAGCAAACGAGGGAUUAGAUACC